rnacentral:rRNA from 1 species
UGCGUAGGCGGCUAUAAGGGUCAGAUGUGAAAUCCCACAGCUCAACUGUGGAACUGCGUUUGAAACCGUGUAGCUUGAGGAAGUCAGAGGUAAGCGGAACUGAUGGUGGAGCGGUGAAAUGCGUUGAUAUCAUCAGGAACACCGGUGGCGAAGGCGGCUUACUGGGACUUUUCUGACGCUGAGGCACGAAAGCUAGGGGAGCGAACG